rnacentral:rRNA from 1 species
GACGAACGCUGGCGGCGUGCCUAAUACAUGCAAGUAGAACGCUGAAGGCGGAGCUUGCUCUUCUGGAUGAGUUGCGAACGGGUGAGUAACGCGUAGGUAACCUGCCUGGUAGCGGGGGAUAACUAUUGGAAACGAUAGCUAAUACCGCAUAAGAGUAGAUGUUGCAUGACAUUUGCUUAAAAGGUGCAAUUGCAUCACUACCAGAUGGACCUGCGUUGUAUUAGCUAGUUGGUGGGGUAACGGCUCACCAAGGCGACGAUACAUAGCCGACCUGGGAGGGGGAGCGGCCACGCUGGGACGGAGACACGGCCCAGACGCCUACGGGAGGCAGCAGGAGGGAAUCUUCGGCGAUGGAAGGAAGGCUGACCGAGCGACGCCGCGUGAAAGAAGAAGGUUUUCGGAUCGUGAAGCUCUGUUGUAAGAGAAGAACGAGAGUGAGAGUGGAAAGUUCACACUGUGACGGUAUCUUAACAGAAAGGGACGGCUAACUACGUG